rnacentral:rRNA from 1 species
AUUGAACGCUGGCGGCAGGCCUAACACAUGCAAGUCGAACGGUAGCACAGAGAGCUUGCUCUUGGGUGACGAGUGGCGGACGGGUGAGUAAUGUCUGGGAAACUGCCCGAUGGAGGGGGAUAACUACUGGAAACGGUAGCUAAUACCGCAUAACGUCGCAAGACCAAAGUGGGGGACCUUCGGGCCUCACACCAUCGGAUGUGCCCAGAUGGGAUUAGCUAGUAGGUGGGGUAAUGGCUCACCUAGGCGACGAUCCCUAGCUGGUCUGAGAGGAUGACCAGCCACACUGGAACUGAGACACGGUCCAGACUCCUACGGGAGGCAGCAGUGGGGAAUAUUGCACAAUGGGCGCAAGCCUGAUGCANCCAUGCCGCGUGUAUGA